rnacentral:rRNA from 1 species
UACGGAGGGUGCAAACGUUGCUCGGAAUCAUUGGGCGUAAAGCGCACGUAGGCGGUCCAGCAAGUCGGAUGUGAAAUCCCUCGGCUUAACUGAGGAAGUGCAUUCGAAACUGCUGGACCUGAAUAUGGAAGAGGGUCGCGGAAUUCCCGGUGUAGAGGUGAAAUUCGUAGAUAUCGGGAGGAACACCAGUGGCGAAGGCGGCGACCUGGGCCAAUAUUGACGCUGAGGUGCGAAAGCGUGGGUAGCAAACAGG